UCCAUCCGUGUCCCCUCCCUGCUCUAUAUGGAGAAGGGAUAUCUGGAUGCCUAUCUCCCACCUAAGCUCAGAGUGAUUGUCAAACCAGGAAAGAUACGCAUUUGGCUGCCCAAGUUGCAUGUGAGGGCGCGGUCAGGUGCAAUUCCACAGCUCCUCUUGCUCAGGCCAGUGUCUGAAUGGGUGAGAUUGUGCCAAACACUGUUUUACCAAAAACUUCAGCCUUUUCACUGAGAAAUUUAGAAAUGGUUCCUUCUGUGCUUUAAAAAAUAAAUCCUAUU